GACGAACGCUGGCGGCGUGCUUAACACAUGCAAGUCGAACGAAGUGGCGAACGGGUGAGUAACGCGUAAUCAACCUGCCCUUCAGAGGGGGACCACAGUUGGAAACGACUGCUAAUACUGCAUACUGAAGGAGGGGCGUGCGUCUGAUUCGCUCGUGGGAGGGGUAACGGCCCACCAAGGCGAUGAUCAGUAGCCGGUCUGAGAGAAUGAACGGCAAAAUUGGGAGUGAGACACGGCCCAGAACCCUACGGGAGGCAGCAGUGGGGAAUCUUCCGCAAUGGACGAAAGUCUGACGGAGCAACGCCGCGUGAGUGAUGACGGCCGUCGGGUUGUAAAGCUCUGUUAAUCGGGACGCGGUACCGGAAUAGAAAGCCACGGCUAACUCCGUGCCAGCAGCCGCGGUAAUAC
rnacentral:rRNA from 1 species